rnacentral:lncRNA from 1 species
AGGUGUUUUUUUUUUGUUGUUGUUGUGGUUUCUUCUAUUAAAACUUGACAAGGGCUUGUUUCAUGACCAUUUCGGAACUGAUAUUUGUGUGGAAUCGUUGUUUACUUUUUGACAGGCACAGUGCUUGGUUUGUUUGAAGACAGCCGGUAUAAGUCUGAGUCAAAGAAACCAUCUCUCAAAUCUGUGGAUAUCAUUGGCUUUGGCACUGGACCUGAACUAGAGGAGAAGCUUAAGUAUGCUGAACAUGUUUCUUAUGGCGUAAUUUUCGGGAAAGAACUUGUUAAUUCUCCAGCCAAUGUUCUCACCCCUGGUAUGGAUUGUUUCUUGAGCAUCAUAGUCUAGAAUUUUCAUUUUUUUUUAUAAAUGUGAGCAUCUUGUAUGUUGAAGUUUAUUUCAAACAUUUGUCUCUAAUCUGCUUUGUAUCUUACAGCCGUACUAGCUGAGGAAGCCUCAAAUCUGGCUUCCAUGUACAGUGAUGUCAUGACUGCAAACAUCUUGAACGAGGAACAAUGCAAAGAGCUGAAGAUGGGUUCAUAUCUUGCUGUAGCUGCUGCUUCAGCUAAUCCACCUCAUUUCAUCCACCUUAUCUACAAACCUUCUAGUGGCCCUGUUAAAACCAAACUUGCUCUUGUUGGGAAAGGAUUGACAUUUGACAGGUACUCACAAGAGCAGUUGUCUUCUGUUAGCCGCAUCAAUCUCUUUCUUCUUAUACUUAUUGGUUUUUGACCACAUGUUGUUUUUUCACAGCGGUGGCUACAACAUUAAGACUGGGCCUGGCUGCUUAAUUGAGCUCAUGAAAUUCGAUAUGGGAGGUUCAGCUGCUGUUCUUGGCGCUGCAAAAGCCAUUGCUCAAAUUAAGCCUCCAGGUGUUGAGGUAAGUUCAUCACACGGAGCUUGAGUUUCUGAGUUAAGUGAAUGUACCUAAACAAAUACUUCUUUGCACAAUCAGGUGCACUUUAUUGUCGCAGCUUGUGAGAAUAUGAUAAGCGGUACUGGAAUGAGACCUGGAGAUGUCAUCACAGCCUCAAACGGAAAGACAAUUGAGGUAUCAUAACACCGUUUCCAUAUGAAUUCAGCUGUAAAAGGUUCGAGCUUUGCAUUGUUAUUUUUACGCCAAACUAAUUGUUGGCGAUGUUGCAGGUCAACAACACCGAUGCUGAAGGUCGACUAACACUUGCAGAUGCUCUAGUUUAUGCUUGCAACCAGGGUGUUGAUAAGGUUUAGUUUGAAAGAUUCUUCCACAUAUCAAUAACAUUCUUUCUGUUGGUUUUUCUCUCAACUUGUGAAUUAUAUAUAUUUGCAGGUUGUUGACCUUGCAACAUUGACUGGGGCUUGUAUUAUUGCUCUUGGAACAUCAAUGGCAGGUACAUAGUCUUGUGUUUAAAAUAGACAGAAUAGCAUUCUUGCAUGAUGAUUGAACGCGGUUUGGAUUUUUGUUUUCUGCAGGCAUAUAUACACCUAGUGAUGAGCUUGCAAAGGAGGUGAUUGCUGCAUCAGAGAGGAGUGGAGAGAAGUUAUGGAGAAUGCCGAUGGAAGAGAGUUACUGGGAGAUGAUGAAGUCAGGUGUGGCAGAUAUGGUUAACACGGGAGGCCGAGCAGGUGGAUCCAUCACCGCAGCUCUCUUCUUGAAACAAGUGAGGAUAUCAUAAGAGUGGAAACAAAAAACACACUUCAAUACUGCAAUAUUGUUCUCUAACGAAGAACCGGGUUUGGUUAAUGGUUGCAGUUUGUGAACGAGAAUGUUGAGUGGAUGCACAUAGAUAUGGCUGGACCAGUGUGGAACGAGAAGAAGAAAGCUGCGACUGGUUUUGGAGUUGCGACACUCGUGGAGUGGGUACAGAAUAAUUCUUCUUCUUAAGAUGAAGCGUGGUGAUCAUUGUGAGUGAUAUGAUUCACUUGUUUUAAAUUUGAUGGAUGUUCUUAUUUUCCAUUCUCAUCGCUGCAAAACAAAUAAAAGUUUGACAUAUCAGAGGUUUUAAUAAAGGUUAUUUUUUUUUUGCUUGUGUGAAGUGUGAAAAGUUUUUUUUUUUUUUUGUGCACCUAAGUAUGACAAGUUAAAUCGUGUAAGAAGAAUGCCUUGGAAUAUUUGAAUUUCUAUAAAUAGUAUCAAAACUAUGUUUUGUAUAAACAACAACUUUAAAUUUGGAGCCAACAAAUAACAGUGGCAAAUUAAGUAUUUCAGAUACGGUUAUCAAGAUAAGUUUUGUAAUAGUGAAUCAUGAUCACAAAAAAAUUUGAAAAGAAGUCUUGAGUCAAGUUAAAAAAUAAUCAUCGUCAACAAGAGAGAAUAAGCACAGUCCGGCGGGCGGACGCGACUGGGUGUGUGUGACUUUUAAUUUUCUUAGAGAUAUAUUAGUUAUUACAAUGCUCCAUGCUAAAUAUAUAUAUCUGCAUUCUUCUUCUUAUAAAUAAUUAUAAAGAAGCUCAGUACACUUCUCAAAUGGCGGUCACUUUGGUAACGUCCUUUACUUCUUCUUCUUCUCGCUUCCAUUUCCGCUCCUUCUCCUCUUCUCCGUCGUCUCUCUCCUCUUGUUUCGUCCGAUUCCAGUCGCCGUCUCGCCUUAAAGUCGCUUUCGCGGUUACGCCUCUCUACUGUUCUUCUAAAGCCAUGUCUCAUACAAUAGCACACGCUACUCUCGGCCUCACUCAGGCUAACUCCGUUGAUCAUCCUAAGGUUUGUUCCUGAUCCACUGAUUUACAAUGUGUUGUUUUAUCGGAUUGUGGUCAAGUAUAGUCGUAGAUUCAAUUAUGGUCAAGCAUAGUCAGAGAUUAGCUUUCGAGUUUGAAUUUUUGUGGUUAACUGGAUUCUGAUUAGCCAAAUUUGUUGGAUCAGAUCUCAUUUUCCGGGAAGGAGAUCGACGUGACGGAAUGGAAAGGUGAUAUACUCGCGGUUGGAGUGAUGGAGAAAGAUAUGACUAAGGAUGCCAACUCCAAGUUCGAAAACCCGAUACUGAAGAAGCUUGAUGCUCACUUGGGUGGACUUUUAGCUGAUGUCUCGUCUGAGGAAGACUUUUCCGGGAAACCUGGCCAGUAUACAGUUCUUAGGCUUCGGGGUCUCGGGUCAAAGCGGGUUGGUUUGAUUGGUCUUGGAAAAUCUGCUUCAUCUCCUUCUGCUUUUCAGAGUCUCGGUGAGGCUGUUGCUGCAGCUGCUAAAGCUUCUCAAGCUAGCAGUGUUGCAGUUGUUCUCGCCUCCUCUGAGAGUGUUUCUAAUGAAUCUAAACUCAGUUCUGCUUCAGCUAUAGCUUCAGGUGUUUGUUUUGUUGUUGUUGUGAUUUCUUCUAUUAAAACUUGAGAAGGGCUUGUUUCAUUACCAUUUUGGAACUGAUCUUUGUGUGGAAUCGUUGUUUACUUUUUGACAGGCACAGUGCUUGGUUUGUUUGAAGACAGCCGGUAUAAGUCUGAGUCAAAGAAACCAUCUCUCAAAUCUGUGGAUAUCAUUGGCUUUGGCACUGGACCUGAACUAGAGGAGAAGCUUAAGUAUGCUGAACAUGUUUCUUAUGGCGUAAUUUUCGGGAAAGAACUUGUUAAUUCUCCAGCCAAUGUUCUCAC